UAAUACGUAGGGUGCGAGCGUUAAUCGGAAUUACUGGGCGUAAAGCGUGCGCAGGCGGUUGGUUAAGUCUGAUGUGAAAGCCCCGAGCUCAACUUGGGAAUGGCAUUGGAAACUGGCUGGCUAGAGUGUGGCAGAGGGGGGUGGAAUUCCGCGUGUAGCAGUGAAAUGCGUAGAGAUGCGGAGGAACACCGAUGGCGAAGGCAGCCCCCUGGGCUGACACUGACGCUCAGGCACGAAAGCGUGGGGAGCAAACAGGAUUAGAUACCCUGGUAGUCCACGCCCUAAACGAUGGCAACUGGGUGUUGGGGAAGCGAUUCCUUGGUACCGUAGCUAACGCGUGAAGUUGCCCGCCUGGGGAGUACGGCCGCAAGGUUA
rnacentral:rRNA from 1 species